UAGUCCACGCCGUAAACGAUGUCAACUAGCCGUUGGUUCCAUUUAAGGGAUCAGUGGUGCAGCUAACGCAUUAAGCUGACCGCCUAGGGAGUACGCGCGCAAGCGUAAAGCUCAAAGGAAUUGACGGGGGCCCGCACAAGCGGUGGAGCAUGUGGUUUAAUUCGAUGCAACGCGAAGAACCUUACCAGCCCUUGACAUUUACGGAACUUAGCAGAGAUGCUUUGGUGCCUUUCGGGAACCGUAGGACAGGUGCUGCACGGCUGUCGUCAGCUCGUGUCGUGAGAUGUUGGGUUAAGUCCCGCAACGAGCGCAACCCCUAUCUUUAGUUGCCAACACGUAAUGGUGGGGACUCUAGAGAGACUGCCGGCGUAAGCCGCGAGGAAGGUGGGGGAUGACGUCAAAUCAUCAUGGGCCUUUAUGCCCAGGGGCUACACACGUGCUACAAUGGGCAGGUACAAAGAGUCGCUAAGCCGCGAGGGUAGAGGCUAAUCUCA
rnacentral:rRNA from 1 species